rnacentral:rRNA from 1 species
GGACGAACGCUGGCGGCGUGCUUAACCCAUGCAAGUCGAACGGAAAGGCCCUGCUUUUGUGGGGUGCUCGAGUGGCGAACGGGUGAGUAACACGUGAGUAACCUGCCCUUGACUUUGGGAUAACUUCAGGAAACUGGGGCUAAUACCGGCUAGGAGCUCCUGCUGCAUGGUGGGGGUUGGAAAGUUUCGGCGGUUGGGGAUGGACUCGCGGCUUAUCAGCUUGUUGGUGGGGUAGUGGCUUACCAAGGCUUUGACGGGUAGCCGGCCUGAGAGGGUGACCGGCCACAUUGGGACUGAGAGACGGCCCAGACUCCUACGGGAGGCAGCAGUGGGGAAUAUUGCACGAUGGGCGGAAGCCUGAUGCAGCAACGCCGCGUGCGGGAUGACGGCCUUCGGGUUGUAAACCGCUUUCGCCUGUGACGAAGCGUGAGUGACGGUAAUGGGUAAAGAAGCACCGGCUAACUACGUG